rnacentral:piRNA from 1 species
UUCACUUUGUGUGUGCAAACGUGUGCCUGU